UUGAACGCUGGCGGAAUGCUUUACACAUGCAAGUCGAGCGGCAGCGCGGCCUUCGGGCUGGCGGCGAGCGGCGAACGGGUGAGUAAUGCAUCGGAACAUGCCCAGUCGUGGGGGAUAACACUUCGAAAGAAGUGCUAAUACCGCAUACGUCCUGAGGGGGAAAGCGGGGGAUCGCAAGACCUCGCGCGAUUGGAGUGGCCGAUGUCAGAUUAGCUAGUUGGUGGGGUAAAGGCCUACCAAGGCGACGAUCUGUAGCUGGUCUGAGAGGAUGAUCAGCCACACUGGGACUGAGACACGGCCCAGACUCCUAAGGGAGGCAGCAGUGGGGAAUUUUGGACAAUGGGGGCAACCCUGAUCCAGCCAUUCCGCGUGAGUGAAGAAGGCCUUCGGGUUGUAAAGCUCUUUCGGCAGGAACGAAACGGUGGGCUCUAACAUAGUCCGCUAAUGACGGUACCUGAAGAAGAAGCACCGGCUAACUACGUG
rnacentral:rRNA from 1 species